UCUGCUCUCCUGAGCAGCAUGGGGCUGUGCUGGCAUCCUCUAAACAAGAGGGUUUGGAAUUUUAUUUUUCCAGAAUCAUCAGAUGGAAAAGGACCAUGGGUGUUAUUUUAUGCUUGGUCCCAUACCUACCACAGCCUCUUGCAGCAUUGGUGAUCUCUCACUUGGAAAAGAAAUACCAUUGUCUCCCUCUUCUCUGGAUCUCAGGACUGCUGGCAUAGCCCAGCUACCAACUGUGUUCCCUAAGGUUAACAAACUGGUUGGUUAUGGGCUGGUACAGCAGCUUAGAAAACUGCUUAUUUUUACACUGCUAAUGGAAUCUCACUGUCCAAAAAAAAAAAAAGGUGUUCCUUUUCUUGCUCUUAUUUGACUGCUGUCAAUUGUUACUGAUUUUUAAAGCAAAUUUAGCUCUGUAUGGAAAUUAUUGUUAACUGGUUAUUUCUUGACUUACAGGAUAAGUAGCAGAAAAUGUUAGUCCUCUUUCCUGGGGUUACUCAAUGUGCUGGAUACUCUGGGUAGAACAUUUGUGGUUUUUUUGACAAGGACUUCUACCUGCACGUGAAGAACCCAUAUCUUAUUCCAUGUAACAAGUAUCAGCAAUCAUAUUAGAACAGCUUAUGUUGAACAAAUACUUUUAUUUACAAGAGCAUAUGUGAGUUUUAAAAUAAAAAAAAAGAAACACGUCUA